AUUGAACGCUGGCGGCAUGCCUUACACAUGCAAGUCGAACGGCAGCACGGGAGCAAUCCUGGUGGCGAGUGGCGAACGGGUGAGUAAAGUAUCGGAACGUGCCCAGUCGUGGGGGAUAACGUAGCGAAAGUUACGCUAAUACCGCAUACGAUCUAUGGAUGAAAGCGGGGGAUCGCAAGACCUCGCGCGAUUGGAGCGGCCGAUAUCAGAUUAGGUAGUUGGUGGGUAAAGGCUCACCAAGCCGACGAUCUGUAGCUGGUCUGAGAGGACGACCAGCCACACUGGGACGGAGACACGGCCCAGACUCCUACGGGAGGCAGCAGUGGGGAACUUUGGACAAUGGGCGAAAGCCUGAUCCAGCCAUGCCGCGUGCAGGAUGAAGGCCUUCGGGUUGUAAACUGCUUUUGUACGGAACGAAAAGGUUUGGCCUAAUAAGCUGAGCUCAUGACGGUACCGUAAGAAUAAGCACCGGCUAACUACGUGCCAGCCGCCGCGGUAA
rnacentral:rRNA from 1 species